rnacentral:rRNA from 1 species
GGGUGAGUAACACGUGGGAAUAUGCCUUUCGGUGGGGAAUAACGUCGGGAAACUGACGCUAAUACCGCAUACGCCCUUCGGGGGAAAGAUUUAUCGCCGAAAGAUUAGCCCGCGUCCGAUUAGCUAGUUGGUGAGGUAAUGGCUCACCAAGGCGACGAUCGGUAGCUGGUCUGAGAGGAUGAUCAGCCACACUGGGACUGAGACACGGCCCAGACUCCUACGGGAGGCAGCAGUGGGGAAUAUUGGACAAUGGGCGAAAGCCUGAUCCAGCCAUGCCGCGUGAGUGAUGAAGGCCCUAGGGUUGUAAAGCUCUUUCGACGGGGACGAUGAUGACGGUACCCGUAGAAGAAGCCCCGGCUAACUUCGUGCCAGCAGCCGCGGUAAUACGAAGGGGGCUAGCGUUGUUCGGAAUUACUGGGCGUAAAGCGCACGCAGGCGGUCUAGAUAGUCAGAAGUGAAAGCCCUGGGCUCAACCCGGGAAUUGCUUUUGAUACUGCUAGGCUAGACUCACGGAGAGGGUAGGGGAAUUCCGAGUGUAGAGGUGAAAUUCGUA